rnacentral:rRNA from 1 species
GACGAACGCUGGCGGCGUGCUUAACACAUGCAAGUCGUACGGUAAGGCCCUUUCGGGGGUACACGAGUGGCGAACGGGUGAGUAACACGUGAGUAACCUGCCCACAACUUUGGGAUAACGCUAGGAAACUGGUGCUAAUACUGGAUAUGUGCCCCUGCUGCAUGGUGGGGGUUGGAAAGCUCCGGCGGUUGUGGAUGGACUCGCGGCCUAUCAGCUUGUUGGUGGGGUAGUGGCCUACCAAGGCGGCGACGGGUAGCCGGCCUGAGAGGGUGACCGGCCACAUUGGGACUGAGAUACGGCCCAGACUCCUACGGGAGGCAGCAGUGGGGAAUAUUGCACAAUGGGCGCAAGCCUGAUGCAGCAACGCCGCGUGCGGGAUGACGGCCUUCGGGUUGUAAACCGCUUUCAGCAGGGACGAAGCUUUUUGUGACGGUACCUGCAGGAGAAGCACCGGCUAACUACGUG